AUUAGUAAAAGCUCUUGACCUUGAUUCAUCUCCAGUCAUCACUGUUGUACAUGAUGGGCAUUAUCAUCAAUGUCCUUGCACUCAUAAGCAAGGGCAGGAAUUUUCAGAUGGCGUGGCUUCCUACCCCGCCACCCGAAGAGUCAGCGGAGAAUGUAUUCUCACUGAUCACAGUAGGCAAGACUGAUUGGCCGGCAGCUCUCUAGUCCCAGCAGUGCUAAUGGCAACAGUGGACACAAUGAAUACAGCAGUCCCCAGUUCUAAGUCCUAGAGUCCAGGCCAGUGGUGAAACCUAACCAGAAUGUAGUAAUGGAUGUGAAGUAUUUGACACUGAUAACAUUCAUUUGUUUUCUGGGAAGAAUUCAAG